rfam:Cavia porcellus supercont2_3 genomic scaffold, whole genome shotgun sequence.
GGGGAUUUAGCUCAGUGGCAUAAGCACCUGCCUUAUAAGCAGGUGGUCGUGAGUUCAAUCCCUG